rnacentral:rRNA from 1 species
GAUGAACGCUGGCGGCGUGCCUAAUACAUGCAAGUCGAGCGAACAGACGAUGAGCUUGCUCCUCUGACGUUAGCGGCUGACGGGUGAGUAACACGUGGAUAACCUACCUAUAAUACUGGGAUAACUUCGGGAAACCGGAGCUAAUACCGGAUAAUAUAUUGUACGGCAUGGAUCAAUAGUGAAACACGGUUUUGCUGUCACUUAGAGAUGGAUCCGGGCCGCAUUAGCGAGUUGGUAAGGUAACGGCUUACCAAGGCAACGAUGCGUAGCCGACGUGAGGGGGUGAUCAGCCACACUGGAACUGAGACACGGUCCAGACUCCUACGGGAGGCAGCAGUGGGGAAUAUUCGACAAUGGGCGAAAGCCUGAUGCAGCCAUACCGCGGGAGUGAAGAAGGUCUUCGGGUUGUAAAGCUCUUUUUUUGGGAAAGAAAAACAGCAAGUGAAUACCCCGCUGUUCUGACGGUACCCAAAGAAUAAGCACCGGCUAACUUCGUG